UGGGGAAUAUUGGACAAUGGGCGAAAGCCUGAUCCAGCCAUGCCGCGUGAGUGACGAAGGCCUUAGGGUUGUAAAACUCUUUCGUCGGGGACGAUAAUGACGGUACCCGAAGAAGAAGCUCCGGGUAACUUCGUGCCAGCAGCCGCGGUAAUACGAAGGGAGCUAGCGUUGUUCGGAAUCACUGGGCGUAAAGCGCACGUAGGCGGAUAGUUAAGUCAGGGGUGAAAUCCUGGGGCUCAACCCCAGAACUGCCUUUGAUACUGGCUGUCUCGAGGUCGAGAGAGGUUGGUGGAAUUCCCAGUGUAGAGGUGAAAUUCGUAGAUAUUGGGAAGAACACCAGUGGCGAAGGCGGCUAACUGGUCCGGUACUGACGCUGAGGUGCGAAAGCGUGGGGAGCAAACAGGAUUAGAUACC
rnacentral:rRNA from 1 species